AUUGAACGCUGGCGGCAGGCUUAACACAUGCAAGUCGAGCGGAGGUGAGGUGCUUGCACCUUAUCUUAGCGGCGGACGGGUGAGUAAUGCUUAGGAAUCUGCCUAUUAGUGGGGGACAACAUUCCGAAAGGAAUGCUAAUACCGCAUACGUCCUACGGGAGAAAGCAGGGGAUCUUCGGACCUUGCGCUAAUAGAUGAGCCUAGGUCGGAUUAGCUAGUUGGUGGGGUAAAGGCCUACCAAGGCGACGAUCUGUAGCGGGUCUGAGAGGAUGAUCCGCCAAACUGGGACUGAGACACGGCCCAGACUCCUACGGGAGGCAGCAGUGGGGAAUAUUGGACAAUGGGGGGAACCCUGAUCCAGCCAUGCCGCGUGUGUGAAGAAGGCCUUAUGGUUGUAAAGCACUUUAAGCGAGGAGGAGGCUACUGAGACUAAUACUCUUGGAUAGUGGACGUUACUCGCAGAAUAAGCACCGGCUAACUCUGUGCCAGCCGCCGCAGUAAUAC
rnacentral:rRNA from 1 species